rnacentral:lncRNA from 1 species
GGAAGCUAACAUAAUGGUGAAAAUCUUUUGCCAACUAACUCAGUCACUACAAAUUUUAUUUCUGCAUUCCUUUCUGAAGUUCAAAUAGCAUGUUACAAUGACAUUAUAGUAAAUAUGGCCAGACAGGUUGUGAGGUAUAGUCCUCUGUUUUCCUCGCUAUUAAAGAAAUAAAAUACCUGUUACAGAUCUCUUCUGUAUAAAAAUACUGUAAGUCUUUCUUUCUUCUUGUUUGCUGUAUAGAUCAAAUACACAGCUUUUAUGUCCUUGGGUUUUUCAUGUUAUUCAGUCACUCAAUAUUCAAAUGGCUCUAGGUUUUAGUAUCAUUGUUUUUUACUUGGAAGGAUUUUUUAACAUAUUUUUUUUCUUUUGAAAUUUACUAUCUGCAUUAACAGUCAGUUAAGAGCACCCACCCUUCAGGAUUAACAGAUAGAAAACAAGUUCGCUCCUAUUUUUAAGGCAUUUAUACUCAGUAUUUGAGUGUCUCAGUGGGUUUGAAAUUUCAACCAUUAUGUUUCCAAAACUGCUGCAAAGAACUCCUUUAAACCGUGCCGUUUAUCAGCCAUCGCUUUUGCACUUUGAUGCGACUUUUCUUUUUUUUCUGUCCUCAGCAACAUCAUUUUGGUACCUUACACAGGAACAGGGCUGUUCUUCGUAUGAGUUUCUAGAGUUUUGAUACUGCUAACAAUCUUCUUUUGAGGCCCCACAACUGUAACACCAACUUUCUUCAUGUCAUCAGUGGAAAUCUUGGCUAUUGUAUCACAGGAGCUGUACUCCACACCCGUGAAAAUGCCUUUGCACUGUCCUGUUCGAAAACCAUUGAGCCAAUCACCUGCCGUGCGGAACGCUGAAAUGUCAAUGUUACUUUGGUCCAGGAGAAGAUUUGAUGGCCUUGCUGCCGCAUUGGUGAUUAUUUUCAGACUGCUGGGAUUACGGAUCAGCUUAUCCAGGAUGCUGACAAUCUGCUCAAACUUGGGUCUGUUGUUUCUGUCUUUCUGCCAGCAGUCCAGCAUCAGCUGAUACAAGGCAGCUGGGCAGUCCAUAGGAGGUGGCAAGCGAUACCCUUCAUCAACGGCUUUAAUUACGUCCUGGUUGGACAUCUCCCAGUACGGCCUUUCUCCAUAAGACAUCACCUCCCAGAGGACAAUCCCAUAGCUCCACGCAUCACUGGCUGAUGUGAACUUCCGGUAUGCAAUGGCUUCUGGUGACGUCCAUCGGAUGGGAAUCUUGCCCCCCCUUGUUGUGUAAGCAGCUUCUGGGUCAUCUUCCAAUACACGAGAAAGACCAAAAUCUGAGACUUUGCACACCAAGUUACUAUUGAUGAGUAUAUUACGAGCAGCUAGAUCUCGGUGGACAUAACCCAUAUCUGACAAAUAUUUCAUGCCAGAUGCGAUCCCACGAAGCAUGCCUACUAGCUGAAUGACUGUGAACUGGGCAUCAUGUUUCCGUAGGAAGCUGUCCAAGGAACCGUUUUCCAUGUAUUCAGUAACAAUCAUAACUGGUUUACUUUUAGUCACAACGCCCUCCAGUCGGAUGAUGUUGGGGUGGUCAAACUGCCCCAUGAUGCUUGCUUCUCCCAGGAAAUCCCUUCUCUGUUUUUCUGUGUAGCCAGCUUUCAGAGUUUUGAUGGCCACUGAAAUUUCCUUUUUAGAAGGCAGCUUCAGGCGCCCACUGCACACUUCUCCAAAUUCCCCUGCUCCAACAACUUUAUCAAUUGAUAUAUUAGAAGCAUCUAGUUCCUUGGCAAAUUCAUGUACAGCUUGAUUGGGAUCUUCGUACGUAUGUGGAUCUACAUAAGUUCUCAGGCCUGGGAGUUUUAAGUGGCCAUUCCCAAAAUGUAGUCUUUUCUCAUCGGUACCAUGUUUAGACUUCUUGUAUCCGCAGAAUCUCCCAAUCAAGACGUACACAACAACCGUGAGGAGAAUGAUGGCAACUGCAGCUGAAAUGGCAAUCAUAACGACCUGGCUAUUUUCACUGGAAAUGGAGAAUGAAUCUGGACUGGUUUCAAAUUCAAACUUGCGGCUGCUUGUCCCAUAUCCAGCUGCAGUUCGGGCUCGAAUUUGGAAGACGUAGGUGGUAUCAGGUUUGAGGCCGCUGAUAGUAACGUUAGUGCUUUUGGCUCUCAGAAUAGUAUAGCUUGUCUCUUGUUCCUUUUCGUAGUAUUUGACCUCGUAGUCCAAGAUGAUUCCAUUUGGGUGCUCAGGCUCCUGCCAAGACAGAGACACGCUGUUCCUGGAUGUCCGGUCUUUCCUUAUCACUGUGAUGGGGGAUGGCGCAGCCUGAUUAGUCGUGAUGCUGACAGCAGCAAAUUGUCUCGAAAGUGUACUCAAGUCAGAUACCCCGUUGACUGCAUCAAUCUCAAAAGUGUAAUUGGUAUGUGCCAAAAGGUCCACUACUGUCACUGUGGUGUUGGUGAGGCCAGUCUGACGGGGUAAGAACCGUACGUUGUCACUGCAAGGCUCACAUAUCUUGCUGCUUCCUCCACAUUUUUUGCAAAUGAUGUUGAAAGUGACAUCUUUUCGACCUCCUGUGUCAAGAGGCCAGCUCCAGUCCAGAAUAACAGAUGUCUCAUUGAUGUUAGAAAUAACAUUUCUUGGAGCAGAUGGUGGUCUGGUGCAAGCCAUGGAUGGAGGGUCUUUCUCAGAGCGAAAGUAAUUCUUUUCACACCUGCAGUUCAGAGAUGCAUCUUCAUAGGUAGAGCUGUGAGGUGGGCAUUUGGCACACUUCACAUUGCCAGCAGAAGCUUUAUAGAACCCAGGUCGACAAGCUUGGCACGCAAAGCCUCUCUCUUCAUAGCCAGCAUUACACAAGCACUUCCCUAUGGGCACUAGCCAUUCUCCUUCCGUGCUGCAGUACAUCUUGGGUGGCUCUUCCUCCUUGGAAUGAUUGACACAAGAACCCCGCACCUCCACCAGGGACUGGGAGUCCAUAGGAACUGUAUCUGGAAACAUGGCGAGGUUCUUGACAGUGAAAGGGCACUUCUUGAAGUACACUCGCACCGAGACUAAGGCAACACAUGCACCUACAUCUUGGAAAGCCAAGUAAAAGCCCUUCUUACUAACAGGUCCCACCUCGCGGACUUCGGUAUUCAGCUUGAGAAUCCGGUCCCCAAGAUCCAUCUGGGUGAAGCUCUCAUCAGCCGCAAUGGUGUCAAUCUUUGUAAAUUGGUGCUCUCUGAACUUUGCCAAAUGGUCAUCAUCGGAUUCCAUGUAAUACAGAUUGAAAGUCUCUUUGCAAGUGCCCAGAACUAGAGGGAUACUAUUGCAGUCCCUCAAGGUAAACUUGAGCUCCACAUAUAUCUUCUGCGCUGAAUUGCGUGGAAUCCAGUUUGUUCGCAGCCAAUUGUUUUGACUGUGAUCCAUAACAUUGCACACUUGGUAAGUUCUGAUUGGAGUAUAAUGCUCAUCAACACCACUAAUCUCUUCCCACCCAUGUGAUGGGUAGGAGAUCCAGCCCAGCUCCCCUUGAAUUGUUUUUGAAUCCAGCAGAUUAACUUCGUUGCCGGGGCGGGCGCUCAGACGCCCGGCGGAGCCGAGGGCAGCGCAGAGCAGCAGCAGCGGCAGGCGGCGGCGGUCCAUGUCGGCGGGGCAGCAGCGCGCGAGCAGAGCCGCAUGUCUCCGCGCCGCAUGCCACCGCUCCGCGCCCGCUCCGCUCCGCGCCGCGCCGCCGGGACCAUGCCCCGCGCCCGCCCGCCCGCGCCCGCCUUCGCGCGGCGCCCGGCAGGGGCCGCCCCCGCCCG